rnacentral:rRNA from 1 species
UACGAAGGGGGGCUAGCGUUGCUCGGAAUCACUGGGCGUAAAGGGUGCGUAGGCGGGUCUUUAAGUCAGGGGUGAAAUCCUGGAGCUCAACUCCAGAACUGCCUUUGAUACUGAAGAUCUUGAGUUCGGGGAGAGGUGAGUGGAACUGCGAGUGUAGAGGUGAAAUUCGUAGAUAUUCGCAAGAACACCCGUGGCGAAGGCGGCUCUCUGGUACGUGACUGACGCUGAGACGCGAAAGCGUGGGGAGCGAACAGG